rnacentral:tRNA from 1 species
GGGGUCAUAGCUCAGAUGGGAGAGCGGCUGGUUCGCAAUCAGCAGGUCGGCGGUUCGAACCCGCCUGGCUCCACCA